UAUCCAAACGUUUCACACUCCUCAACCUUGCAUAUCCUGAACUAGGAAGCAAAUUACACUGCCUGAAGUAAAGGAACCCAGUAAUUACUCUCUUACUGCCUCAACUAAUCUACCUCAAAUCUCUGUACCUUCCAAGAAAGGAAGUCUGAAACUCCUUCUCUCUAUCCAAACGUUUCACACUCCUCAACCUUGCAUAUCCUGAACUAGGAAGCAAAUUACACUGCCUGAAGUAAAGGAACCCAGUAAUUACUCUCUUACUGCCUCAACUAAUCUACCUCAAAUCUCUGUACCUUCCAAGAAAGGAAGUCUGAAACUCCUUCUCUCUAUCCAAACGUUUCACACUCCUCAACCUUGCAUAUCCUGAACUAGGAAGCAAAUUACACUGCCUGAAGUAAAGGAACCCAGUAAUUACUCUCUUACUGCCUCAACUAAUCUACCUCAAAUCUCUGUACCUUCCAAGAAAGGAAGUCUGAAAGUAUGUAAUUUUUCCUACAAACCUGACUACUAUGUGUUUAUAGUA